ensembl:lncRNA
AUUAGCACGUCUUUAGCACAACAGAAGGUUCGGUUGGCAGGAGUCUGAAGACUGGACGAGAUGGUGUCGCUUGAGCUCUAUGGAGAUUUAAUAAGAGACAUUACUGCUCAGAACCUCUCGCACGCGGACAUUUCCACGAAGUUAUCACAAUUAGGUGUGCAGCGAUGUUCUGAAAUGAGUGUCAGGAGAUUUUGUGCACAUCACAACAUUUCCAGGAGGGGACAUGUAUCCGACACACAAUUAGAAGUUGCUAUCAGCAGGGCAAUAAAUCAGACAGGGUCAACAUAUGAUGACCAGGUAUCUGUCUGCGAUGGGAGUGGUUGCUGGUGAACGCCGGAUAGGGAGGAUUUUGAGAACAACGCAUUGUCCUUAUCACGAAAUGCGCAAUCGUGGUGCACGUAACCUUAACCCCGUCCCCUACAGUGCUGCAUACAUGGGACAUAAAAUCCACAUCGACCAGAAUGAAAAAUUGGUCAUGUUCAGAGUGACGCACGUUUUCGCAGUAGAUGCGUACAGCAGUAAGGUCAUUGCCCAUGCAACCAUGCCUGUCAAGAAUAAACUCACGAUAUAUGAGGAAGUUUACAGGUCGCUGGUCGAAGCAGUUCGUAGAGUCGGGAUGCUUGGAGGAAAAUGAGGUUUGCUGGCUUUCACAUGGAGAUGCUGCU